rnacentral:rRNA from 1 species
GGAAUCUUGGGCAAUGGGCGAAAGCCUGACCCAGCGAUGCCGCGUGUGUGAAGAAGGCCCUAGGGUUGUAAAGCACUUUCAGCAGCGAAGAAAAGCCGGGGGCCAAUACCCCCUUGGCUCUGACGUUAACUGCAGAAGACGUACCGGCUAACUCCGUGCCAGCAGCCGCGGUAAUACGGAGGGUACGAACGUUAAUCGGAAUUACUGGGCGUAAAGCGCGCGUAGGCGGUUCGGUUAGUGGGAUGUGAAAGCCCCGGGCUUAACCUGGGAAUUGCAUUCCAAACUGCCGGACUAGAGUAUGGUAGAGGGAGGUAGAAUUUCCUGUGUAGCGGUGAAAUGCGUAGAUAUAGGAAGGAAUACCGGUGGCGAAGGCGGCCUCCUGGACCAAUACUGACGCUGAGGUGCGAAAGCGUGGGGAGCAAAC